rnacentral:rRNA from 1 species
UACGAAGGGGGCUAGCGUUGUUCGGAAUUACUGGGCGUAAAGCGUGCGCAGGCGGUUUCUCAAGUCAGGGGUGAAAGCCCAGAGCUCAACUCUGGAAUUGCCUUUGAGACUGAGUGGCUUGAGUACGAGAGAGGUGAGUGGAAUUCCCAGUGUAGAGGUGAAAUUCGUAGAUAUUGGGAAGAACACCAGUGGCGAAGGCGGCUCACUGGCUCGUAACUGACGCUCAUGCACGACAGCGUGGGGAGCAAACAGG